rnacentral:rRNA from 1 species
GGGGAAUCUUGCACAAUGGAGGAAACUCUGAUGCAGCGAUGCCGCGUGAGUGAAGAAGGCCUUUGGGUUGUAAAGCUCUUUUGUAGGGGAAGAUAAUGACUGUACCCUAAGAAUAAGGUCCGGCUAACUUCGUGCCAGCAGCCGCGGUAAGACGGAGGAUGCAAGUGUUAUCCGGAAUCACUGGGCGUAAAGCGUCGGUAGGUGGUUUCUUAAGUCUACUGUUAAAUCUUGAGGCUCAACCUCAAAUA